rnacentral:tRNA from 1 species
GGCCCCUUGGUCAAGAGGUUAAGACACGGCCCUUUCACGGCUGCGACACGAGUUCGAUUCUCGUAGGGGUCACCA